rnacentral:rRNA from 1 species
CGACGACGCUGGCGGCGUGGAUUAGGCAUGCAAGUCGGACGGUAGGCUUUAUCGUAAGAUAGAGUUUGAGAGUGGCGAACGGGUGAGUAACACGUAGGAAUCUACCCUUAAGACGGGGACAACCCAGGGAAACUUGGGCUAAUACCGGAUGUGAGCAACUUUUAGUUGUUUGAAAGGUGGCGUAAGCUGUCGCUUGGGGAUGAGCCUGCGUCCUAUUAGUUAGUUGGUGAGGUAACGGCUCACCUAGGCAAUGAUAGGUAGGCGGCCUUAACGGGUGGUCGCCCACACUGGGAUUGAGAUACGGCCCAGACUCCUACGGGAGGCAGCAGUCGAGAAUAGUCUACAAUGGUCGGAAGACUGAUAGUGCGACGCCGCGUGAACGAUGAAUCCCUUCGGGGUGUAAAGUUCUUUUAUAUGUGAGCAGUGCUUCUUAUAUUAACAGUAUGGGGAGAGAGAUAUUAGCAUAUGAAUAAGCAACGGCUAACUCCGUG